AUGACGAGCCCGGAGCUGGACGAGGGCGCGGUGGAGAGGCAGCCGGCGGCGGCGUCGCGCGGUGGCGGGGUAGCCGUGCAGGCGAGGGACGGGGUGUUCACGUGGGACGACGAGGAGACGGAGGCUGGGAUGGAGGUGCUUCGAGGCAUCGACCUGGAGAUCCGCAGCGGCAAGCUGGCCGCGGUGGUCGGCAUGGUCGGGUCCGGCAAGUCGUCGCUGCUCGGCUGCAUCCUCGAUGGGAUGCGCAAGGUCUCCGGUAAGGCUACAGAAAGGUUGGAAGUAGCCUACCCAACAAUAAAGGAGCUGGCUCUUGUUGGUGCUCUAAGGCUGUGA
rnacentral:rRNA from 1 species